rnacentral:rRNA from 1 species
UAGAGGAAGUAAAAGUCGUAACAAGGUUUCCGUAGGUGAACCUGCGGAAGGAUCAUUAGUGAUUAAACUGUUGCCCUCUGUGCUGGCUCUGCAAGUGCACGUCGGUGACUUUCAUUCCAAUACCCUUGUGAACCUUUGGCCUCUUGCUAGCUUCGGCUGGCAGAGGAUUCUACAUACAAACUCGCAUGUAAUGAAACUCUUGUUGUGCACAAGCACUACUAUACAACUUUCAACAACGGAUCUCUUGGCUCUCGCAUCGAUGAAGAACGCAGCGAAAUGCGAUAAGUAAUGUGAAUUGCAGAAUUCAGUGAAUCAUCGAAUCUUUGAACGCACCUUGCACCCUUUGGCAUUCUGAAGGGUAUGCUCGUUUGAGUGUCAUUGUACUCUCACACUUCCGAUCUUGCAUUGGGAGCGGUGGACUUGGGUUUGCUGCCUUACCGUAGCUUACCUCAAAUGUGUUAGUGCAGCUCUUGGUUGGACAUAGUACGGCGUGAUAAGUAUCUUCGCCGGUGCCUCGCAAUUGCGAGGGUGGCCGAUCGGGAUGUUGUGCUCCAAACCGUCUUCGGACAAUCUCUGACAACUUGACCUCAAAUCGAGUAAGACUACCCGCUGAACUUAAGCAUAUCAAUA